GUAAGCUGUAGGGUGGUUGUGGCAUCAGAACAGUGCUGUGAACUGAUCAAGAAUACGUUGAAUAUGAAAAAUUGGAAGGCUGGCCCUUAAGUGGUAAAGUACAGAGUAAGCCAGGGUUUGGCUCAGAAUGGAUGUUAUCCCAAAAUUCUCAGUCACUGUGCUGCUUCAGAGUAUUUAUUCCUUCUUUUCCAUCAAAGACAUUGUCCACAAACUGAAGCAAAAAACCAGACUGAAGCAAGUGUACAAGAUGUCUUAUUCAUCAGGCAAAAUAAUCACACUGCUACAUUGAAGUCACAUAUUUACCAGUGUCGUGCUUCAGACAAAGAGAAUGCAUGGUCAUUCGCUCUAGAUCAUUGAGGCCACCGGAGAAAUCUCCAGUGUUUCAAAGUGUGUUUCAAAGGAGGCAACAAAAUGAAAACUUCUGAAUAACAAGAAUAUCAGCAUUUCAGAGAGGGGCUAGAAAUUAGACAAGUGAGAAUUUGGUCCUUCCAAGACUGGGUAUAUUCUGUAUUUACUUUUAAGAAUGCCAUUUAUGAACUUGUGUCUACAAAGUGAUUCAGUGGUGUUCAUUUUUCACUACGAGAGGCUCCUGCCAUCUGCAUCAGGAAUAUUUCAGAUCAGUGCAUCACAGCUCGGAUGUAAGAGCUUUGGGCUGGUUGAUCAGCCCAUUGUAAACAAGCAAUUCCAGAGAAAUCAGAGGCAUGCCAAAUUACUGAUACUGAACAUUAGUCCUGGAUUUAUUAUCAUUUUUUUAAAACUAGAACACAACCACCCAAACCAAACCGACCAACCAGCCAAACAAAACUAUGAGGAAAAUUCAAACUAUGAGGAAAACAGAGCAAAUCAGAUCUUGCUCAUACAGGUCAGUGCUAACAAAUACUGAUGUCAGAGGUCCAAGAUCUGACCAUAAAAGCACAGCACAGGGAACCAUUAAAGCUUAGAAGAUUCUAAUCACGCAUAGCGUUGCUAGGUGUUUUUGCAAACUGAGUUCCAAAACAAUAAAUUAGAUUGAUAAUUUUUUAUUAUUAUUAUUUGAAAGUCUUUUGCACUGAAGGCAUUCCUUCAGACGUCUUUAUAGAUAACAACUUUGUAGCUUAGUGGCAGCUCUGAGCUUAGGCCAGAGCCAAGGGUUUCUCAAGAGUGGGAGCAGUUACAUGUGACUGUUAGCUGUUCCUUCCCUUUCACGGGGAAAGCGUCCAGAUGGAAAGCGAAAUUCGCAAGGGGAAACUGUGUAUGUCUGCUGCCAGUAACAAAGAACUCAGAGAUAGAUUACAAUGUUCUUCCCACAAUUGCCUGGCGAAAAUCUCAGGCUGGAUGUUGGGAAAAAAAGUCUUUUAGAAGAAAGGGGGAGGCGUUGGCACGGGCUGUCCGGGUGGUGGGGCCACCGUCCCUACAGGUGUUGAAGAACUGUGGAGAUGUGGCACUGAGGGACGUGGUCAGUGUGCCCAUAACGGUCGCGCCUCACUACAGAGUGGGCGAGGGGAGAAAGGGCGGCGCAGAGCGCCGGAGCCAAACCCUUCGUUUUGUUGAGGUUUUCCUACUGAGGUUCUCCACAGAACCGCCCCCUCUCCUCUCCCGCCACAAAGCCCCGCUGGGUCACGCCGGGUAACGCAGCCCCGCCGGCGGUGCCGCCCCCCCGCGGGUCGGGGUCAGAGGCGGGAGG
ensembl:lncRNA